GGGGCUGACUGGUUUUGACAGCAAGGCAAAUGGAAAUGUAAGCAUGCAGGCCCAGGCAACAACGGCCUUAACCAGGGUUGCAAAGAAUAAAAGGCGAAUAUAACUACGCUCUUGCAGCCUAAUCGAAGUAUAGUAGAUGGGCUUAUCCCUUGCCAAGGUGCAGGGGACAAGACGUCGCUCAAUGAGCAAGCCCGACGCUCGUUGGUCAAGCGGCGCUCGUGAGUUUGGGCUCGCCGGCCUGGUGUCCUGACGGGUCGGUCAGAAUUGCAGGACUAAGGCGGAAAUAGGCUGCCAAUUGCCAGUUUCCGCACGAAAAUCAAGAAUUGGCUAAGCAUGUAGAAAGCGUUUCUGUUUCUUGUUUGGACGCGGGUUCGAAUCCCGCCAGCUCCACUA
rnacentral:tmRNA from 1 species